AUUGAACGCUGGCGGCAGGCCUAACACAUGCAAGUCGAACGAGUGGCGGACGGGUGAGUAAUGUCUGGGAAAAUGCCUGAUGGAGGGGUAUAACUACUGGAAACGGUAGAUAAUACCGCAUACCAUUGGAUGUGCCCAGAUGGGAUUGGCUAGUUGGGUGGGUAAAGGCUCACCUAGGCGACGAUCCCUAGCUGUUCUGAGAGGAUGACCCGCCACACUGGAACUGAGACACGGUCCAGACUCCUACGGGAGGCAGCAGUGGGGAAUAUUGCACAAUGGGCGCAAGCCUGAUGCAGCCAUGCCGCGUGUAUGAAGAAGGCCUUCGGGUUGUAAAGUACUUUCAGCGGGGAGGCGUUACCCGCAGAAGAAGCACCGGCUAACUCCGUGCCAGCAGCCGCGGUAAUUC
rnacentral:rRNA from 1 species